GAUUACAAACCCCAAAAUUUCCAGGUUUAAAUCUCACGGCUCUUUCUCAAAAUUUCUGGCAAUAACAAUGGUUCUAAAACAGGAUUUUCUUUGGUUAAAACAGAAUCUUUGGUAGUCUAUUAGGACAUGUAAACACUUAGCUAGCUAGUAAAGGUUUUCAAAUCAAAUCCAGGUUCAAGCUACGAUUAUACUCAUCUAACACAAAUCCAGAAAUUUUACCAACUAUUCUCGAAUGAUCAUUCAUGAACCAAUUUUUUUGGCUUUCAUUUUAUUUUCCAAGUUCCUAGUUUCAUUGUCCAAUCGUGUAACUCAACAUGCAGGCCCUUAAGCAUUUUGUCUUCACUUGGAGAGUUAGGAUUGUAACCACAGCUUGUCCUAUUUAAGCAAGUUAAGCAAAUCAUUUCUUAAUUAGUCUCGACAGAAGGUUUUCAUUAAACCAGAAUUUCUUAGGUUCCUUAAUUCAUCAAUCAACUUCAUCGAAUUAACAUGCAGGGUCCUAGACAUCAUAAACAUUAAGUUCUACUCGGCUAAUUCCACUUGAGUGCUCAGGUUAUCACAAGAAAAACAGAAUUUCAGUUGCAUUUCCAAACCAUUCUCUCGGCAGAAUCAUUCUCAACAAAACAGAAUUUCUAACAAUUUGAUUUCAUCAUCCAACUAUAUAAAAUGAUCAUGCAAGGCCCUAAUCACAAUAAUCAUCCAAAUUCCAGUUAAUUAAUCACCAUUUCAGCUCAAAUCACUUCAGAAAAACACAUUAAAGCUGCCCUUCCAAUCAUCUUCUCGGCUAAGACAUUUUCCUCUUAAAACAGAAUUUUCUUAAGCUUUACCAUUAUCAUCCGAAAGCACAAUCAACAUGCAUGGUCUUAAUCAUCCAGUUUUCAUUCAGCUAAGUACACUUGGGUGCUCAGAUUGUCCCAGAAAAACAGAAAUAAAGCUGCACUAUCAGCUCAGCUCCUCGGCAGAACCAUCUAGCCGAAACAGAAUUUUCCACAGCUUUGAUUUCAACAUCCGAUGGCACAAAUUAACACAUGCAAGACCACGGUUAGCUUAAUCUACCUCUGAUAUGGCUUCAUUCACUAGCAAUUAACUUAUUUAGUUCAGAAAUUACCUCAGCUAGUAGCUAAACCCUCACACGAAUUUUCCAGAAAUGUCUUCCCUCACUCUCGGCCAAGUUCAGACGUGGUCCUGGUUUGAGUUGCGGCUGGAAUUGGGUUGCGGAUGAAGGUGAGAUGGUGUAGCUUCCUGCAGAUUCUCCUUCCUGGCUUUGCUCUACUCACGGCAGGACCAAAAAUUUCCAGCAGCUCUCUCACUCUCUCGGAUGCUCUCGGACAAGGCAGGGAACAAAUGAGGUUUUGUUGUGAAUCAAAAAUGAAAGAGUAGAGUGGUUGGUAUCGUGGUAUUUGGAGUGCAAUGGAUUGCGGGUUUGGCUUGUGCAGAGAAAGAGUCGGCUGAAAUGGUUGUGAGAUGUAGUGUGAAUCUGAUCAAGUGGUUUUGUGGUGCCGCGGUUUACGAAAGGUUUGCGUAUCGAAUUGGUUAAAAUGUAAUUGGUCGAAGUUGCGGUGAUGGGAAUUUUGUCAUAGGGGUCGUUUGGUUUCGCAUGGAAUUGUAAGGGUCUUUUAGUCUUUUCACUUUGUUUCCUAAUCUCAACUUAAAUUUCUAAGAUUUAUCCUCAAGAGUGAUUUGAACGCCUAAUAAUAUGCUAAUCUUGCAAGGCUUUAAUUAUCGAAUUUUUCACACCUUAAUUAUGUUUAGUAUACUAGUAUCAUGUUUAUCUAAAAUUUAUAGGCUUUGUCUUAUAGUGAACAUCCUUAUUAGUAUUUAACGUUAUUCACUAAUUUAGAAUUAGUUAUAGGAAUUCAAGAAAUUUUAUAUACUUAAUCUGCUCAGGUAACAUUAAUUUUCAACAUUAAGAAAACUAUGUAUUUUAGUAUUUUAUUUUAAGGCGAUAAAUUAAUCUAACUCAAGAAAUAUUAAUUUAGUAGCAAAACCGAAUAAUUCAAUAUUGGGCACAAUUAUAUUAUUUAUUACAUAGAAAUUGUCUUUACACCUUUAUUUCAAAACCAUUAGUUACAACACUAGAAUUCAAAGAAAUUAAUUAUUAGAUCAAUGAAAUAGUUUACCUUCGAAAUAUGAAGUUAAUGUAACAAAACUAAGAAGUUUAGUAGUUUAGCACAAUUCUUUUAUUUUGCACAUAACGUUUAAUUCCACAUACUUAUUUAAAAACAAUUGGACUUCGUGCUAAAAUUUAUUAAGGAAUUAAAAUGCAAAUAAAUAUGCACUGAUAUUUAUAUGUCUAUUUUCAGGGUUCUCACAUCCUCCCCUCCUUAAAAUGAAUUUUGUCCUCAAAAUUCUUACUUUCUCAAGAGAUAGGUUGAGUUACUUGUUGCAUCUCUUCUUCUAGUUCCCAAGAUUAGUGCGGUCGUUUAGUUUUAGAUCAUUUAUUUGCUACAAGGCCAUACUUAUAUUUUUUUUUUAUUGUCUCAUGCGUUGCCUCAAAAUUUCGUUGGUUCUAAUUUAUGUGUACCUCGAAAAAUUUUGCUUAUAUCAAUUAGUAGGUUUCCACACGUUUGGCUUUAAGGAGAAUUAAUUACUCAGGUAAUUUAUUCAACUGUAUAAUGUAUUCAAAUUGCUCAAUUUACAAUAUACCUAUCGUGUAUAUUUGAUUCAUAUAUAUAUAUUACACUAUUCUAGAAUAUUUCUAAUAGCAAAGUAACUAAAAUAAAGGAUAUUUAUAGUGUACAUACAAUUCGUAGCGUACAUAUAAUUUAUAGCAGAAGAUUACAAUCUCCAAAAGUGCUAUUCUAGUUUAGGGUAACUAUAACCUCUAUUCCUCGAGUGAGGUCAAACCCUCUUGAUUUGUGAAACGUUCACUACUAGGACCCCGUUCAUGGUCGUUAACACGAAUUACUUCCAUCUGGCACUUAAUCGCUCUGUAGCGGACUUAGUUGUCUGCUGAGUACUUCCUCUUUUUAAAUGCUCUAAGGCAUUCCGAACUCUUGUGCUGGGUACUACCGCACUUCAAGCUCUUUCCUCCCUUUUUCCAGCAUUCCUUCUCGGUAUGACCAGCUUUUCUACAAUACCCACAAUUUGCUCGAAAAGUGGCGGCCUGGACAUUUCCGGGAUUUUUCUUAUGUUUCUUCUGUGGUUCUACAUUCUGGCGUAGUAGCUCAAUUUUCUCGGCAUAUUCUUGUUUCCAUCGUCCUUCCCAGUAGUCAGCCAAUUUCCUUUGAAAUUCUACCUCAUUUCGGAGGAUGUCUAUUUCCUUACGCAUUUCUUCCAAAGUUGUCAUCUUACUAGUUGGCUUAAGUCAAAUAGCUAGCCUGCCAGACAAAUCAUAGGAUCAAGGUAAGCAACUAUUCAUACUGGAAGCUCGAGCCGUAAUGCUCUUUCAUCUUUUUACGAAUGGUUACUCCAAAAUAUAAACCUUACUACUUCCUGCCUAAUCCAGCGAGUUCUUAAGUAUAACCGAGAUUACCAUCGUUAAUCACUAUCACGACAGAAUAAGGAAGCCUUAUCCCAAGGAAAAUUUUCAUGUCUUAGUGCGCUAUUCAAUAUUUACCUUCAAAGUUGUUUGAAACAAAAGUCGUACUUCUUAUUCUCACUAGGGCCUUAUUGUAUUCCUUCGAUUCAUUCUUAAAAUUUUGAGGUUAGAUUCCCCAUGGAACCUAGAUAGACGAAUUUCAAGAGUCACUCUAUUUUCGCAACUCUUUUGGUUCCUAGGUUAGUUGAUUGGCCUAGAGCUUUGGUAUUCCACCAACCGUUCUAAGGUAUCAGUCAUAUGGUCAAUAGGAUAACUACGUGGGCGGUUUCCUUCUAAAUUCCCAUUGAUAGCACCUUUGUCGAAGUCUGUCUACCAUUAGCUCUUGAAACAAUUAUAACAUCCUUAAAGGCUCAACUUUCAAAAUUUUACGCCCCUUUUUUGACUAAUAACAGGAUAUUAAAUACACAUUUGGAAAAAUUGUGGUCUUAGUGUUUUCCCCGUAAUUUAAGUGUCGAAUCGACUGCUUCCCAAAGUAUAUAAAAGUUCAACUACUUGAAUUUACAAUUUAUCUGCGCGUCAUACUCAAUUAAAAAUUCUCACCCAAGAUAGCAUUAUCAAUCUGACAUUAUCGCUCCCUAAGCUUUAUAUUUCUCACAACGGUUGAUUUAAAAUAAGUAUAACCAAUUAUGCAUACAUCUGAUUGCGGUUAAUUUCACUCCAUAUAUAUUAUUAAUACCCAGCAAAACCAUGAUCAAUUUAAUUACAUCACAGAACAAAGUCAAUUACAACAUAUAUCAAGCUCAAGUACACUAAUUAGAAAUCAAACAAAUCUCUUUUUUUUUUCUUUUUUUUUUUAAGUGCAUUCAAUAUCCAAACAUGGCAAAGUUCCAACUCCAACAUCCCAUCCUAUUGAUUUCUAUCCAUAAUAGGGUUGGUAAAUCCUUGAAAUUCCUACCUUUAUUCACAAAAGUUCAGUUUAUUAUUAUUUAUUUAUUUAUUUUUUUCUUAAUCUCAUAGUUCUAUACACCACUUUGGUUACCAAAAUUUCACUCAGGUUAGUAAUUAUUCAAUUCCCGGGGCUAAUAAAUAUUGCAGCGCUACAAAAAAAAUGAAACACGUAAUCAUCAAAUUAUAUACUUCACAAUAUAAGUCACAUUGCAUACCAAAUUCACACAACUUCAAAAGCUAGAUAAUUCACGAAUACAUUCAAUAUUUUCAUACAUAACUCAAACUUCAAUCAUCAUAAGCAUGAAAGGAAACAAUACAACAAUACACAAAUUAUUAUAAUCACAUAGCAAAUAGCUCAACUUUUAGUGUAGAUUCAACUUAACCUUCAUUAGUUUAGUCUUGGACAAUCCCACUGGAUUCCCUUAGUAACACUAAUCAAAUUUUCUUAGUGGAUUGUAGAUCUACUCCGUCUAAUAUCGAAUCAAAUAAUAUGAUCCUUUCUUAAGUACAUCAGUGGUUCUUAAGUAAUCUAAAAGAUCUCAAACAUUUCAUACAUUGGCUUUUCUACUAUCCUAACAACUAAUUAUCUUUAUCCUUUCAAACAUUUGCCCCAAUAAUCUUUCAAUAAAACUUAAAGACCACAAUGUCAUCUAGAACUCACCUUUAGUUAUUUGCAAAUGGUAGCAUACUAACCACAUGAUAAAUUCAUCAAACUUAUCCCUUCCCCAGGUCUAAAGCCACUCACAACUGCGUAGCCCUUACUUAAACUGCCGUUUCACUCAGAUUCUAGGUCUAAAGCCACAUGUUAGGAUAAGGGAUGGUAAAAAGUUCAUUUACUAUCAUAAAGGCUAGUAAGGCCACCAAUAAAGCCUUUUCACUUUUAACUUUCAAAAGCUAACCUUGGUCUCUUUAAUUCUUCCUUUCCAAACUUAAUCAUGGUUUCUAGUCACAUCGUAAUGCAGUAUACUGGAUUCUUUUCAAUUGCAAAACUCUAUUAAAUGAAAUAUUUCGUACUCGGGUACAAGAAUCCGAAAAUGAGAUGAUUCACAACUCAAGCUGGCCAGUCCCAAGCAUGAAUCACCUAUAUUUAAGAUUUCUACCCAACGUACAUAUCUAAUUCCUUUAGCAAUAGCAAUUAGUUCAACACUUAAUAGGCCAUUUCCCCACGGUCCGAGAACCUUUUCCCGGUUUGAGCUCGAUAAGAGCUCUGAUACCACCUGUGGCGACCCCACCUUCCCCUGAGGCGAACCAAAGGGUUGGCGGAUCGUCUGCCCAGCUCUCGCCAGGACUCAAGCACGCAUUUCAAACCUGAAUUCCUCCGAAGAAAAGUCUAAUCUAUUGCAUCAGCAAAUCUUCCAAGUAAAACUUUAUAACUCCACAGUAACUUCAGGGAUAGCAGUGACAUAAGUCAGCCCUUCGACGGCUCUUAAAACUAUCGUUCACGCGCUUUACAAGAACAAAGUCGUACAAUCCUAACGUACAAAAACCCAAACAGCGGAAACAUAAAAAUACCCCAGCCAUAGGUCACCACGAGAGCCACACAUUUUCCAGCUUCAAGUGGUAACACAAGGCGAAAGUACGCAAGCAGGAUUACACGUUACAAACUGAAAUUUACAAUUCUUAAAAACCACAUUGUCCAAACACACGUAUAACCAAAUAAAAACAGCAUCCAACUUCUCAAGCCUCAAAACCUGUAAGGAAAACAAAUAAACGUGGGGUGAGCCGAAACUCAGUGGUGCCCCAAAACAUGCAUCCAAAUAAACAUUUAACAGGUAGAAAUUUGCAGCAUUAAACAAGUAGGAAAGCGAGUAACAACACAGGGUAGGAUACAGGGCUCUCAGGAGCCAAUUUCCACGCUUGAUUAGAUACUAUCGUAGUUGACCCUCCGUCAACUUUCACUACUUAUAAUCCAUGUAGAUCCACUUAUUUUAAUCCUAACCCGUCACCAUUCAUACCUCUGCUUUGGGCCCAAACUUCCUCUACCGACGCAGUAUACUCGAGAUAUACCCGUAAUAAAUUUGUCGAGGGAUUCACCCAACGACGUAAUUGUAGUUUGAUUCAUGCGUCGAGGGAUUCACCCAACAACGUAACUACAUUUAGGUUCAUAGUAGUCAGAUUCAUGCGUCGAGGGAUUCACCCAACAACGUAACUACAUUUAGAUUCAUAGUAGUCAGAUUCAUGCGUCGAGGGAUUCACCCAACAACGUAACUACAUUUAGAUUCAUAGAAAAUAUUUCACACACAUCACCACUCGAACGGCUAGUGCGAUAAAGUACACACUGCUCACUUCGAUGGAUCAAAAUCAUUUAUUGUAUUUUGACAAUUAUCACAUAGCGAAUUGAUAAAGCGCUUAACCACAUAACAUAGAACAAGCAGGGACACUCACCAAGAGUGGAGUUCAGAUAUUGGAUUGAGGAUCGAGUUCCGCGUCCUCGUAAAAUCCUAGAAUAUCAGAAUUUAAGCCAUAAGUUUUCUAUUGGAACUUUUGGCUUGUACAUGUAGAGUUUUCUAGCAUGAUGCUAGUUUACUUUUUCUCAAAAUAUUUUACUUGGAAUCGAGCUUAUGAGAACCGUACAAUAUUUCUUAUACCAUUCCUGGAAUACUUUUUCUUCGAAGAAAAUACUAUUAUUAUUUUCUUAAAAUAAGUCGGCAAGAUAUUUAAUAUCAGGGCUAAAAAAAUAUACCUUGGAAAAAGUUCAUUGGAGUGGUUGUACCUACAAAAAUCUUUGCUAAGGCUUUAGGGUAAGGUUUAUUGAAAAAUGUUGCUAAAAUAAGGUUUUUCUUGCCGAGCAGGUUUCUACGCUUAAAACCAAAGGGAUCGAGUUUCACCUUUUAAAUUUCCUUAGUUCCGACUAGCCUUAAACGAUUUAUAAGGAAGGAAUUUGAAUCAAACUAAGGUUUUGAGUCCGGGGAAAUCAUUUUCCCAAAUUAAUAAGGCUAGUCUAGCUUAAGGGGUAAAAGUCAUGUUGCCCAAGUUUCUAAGGCAAAAAUAGUAGAUACUAUGUUUAGUAGUACGAUGCUAGAUCUGUACCGUUCCAAACUUGAAGCAAAAUAUUUUCCAUUUACUUAGUCAAGCGUUUACUUGGGUUCAUAAGGUCGGUACGACUUCUCACGUUUUCGAUUCCAAUCCAAAAAUCACAUUUCCUCAAUAUUGCACAAUUAGAAUUUAAACAGUAAUAACACUAGGGCUCGUCAAUUCUUAGCCCUGUGUUCCAACAAAUUUAUAUCUAAGCAUAAGCAGGAAAAUUUACCAAGGCUUCGUCAAUACUUAGCACUUGGUAAUCAGUACUUAUAUCAACUCACAGUUUCACAAAAUAGUAGCACAGAUUUCUAAACAAUUUCAGCAAUUCAGUUAUCCAUGCAGGGUGGGAAUUCAUAGAGCCCACUGUCAACAAUUCUAACACAUUGUUUUCUCAAGGAAAAAUAAAUUUCAACAAUUCACUUCCAACCAUAAUUCAGUCAAGAAUUUGAACCACUAGUAAGAUAAAAGCUCAAUCCGAAUUCAAGUUUAGUUUCACAAUGAAACAAAUCAUUCAUGCAAAACAGUCCACUUCAAAACUAGAUUCAUUCGGCAACUAAAAUCAUCCAGAAAAAUCCAGAAAUUUUGUCCAUUAGCCACGGAUGAACAUGCAUGAAGAAAUGUUCUGUAAUCAUUUUAUUUUUCUGGGCUAAAAUAUGCUUUAAAACUCUCAGCUUCCUCAUGCAAUCUCUUAGCAAAACGAUGCACAUUUCCAGACCAGGAGUUGAAAUUAAACCAGGAUUACAAACCCCAAAAUUUCCAGGUUUAAAUCUCACGGCUCUUUCUCAAAAUUUCUGGCAAUAACAAUGGUUCUAAAACAGGAUUUUCUUUGGUUAAAACAGAAUCUUUGGUAGUCUAUUAGGACAUGUAAACACUUAGCUAGCUAGUAAAGGUUUUCAAAUCAAAUCCAGGUUCAAGCUACGAUUAUACUCAUCUAACACAAAUCCAGAAAUUUUACCAACUAUUCUCGAAUGAUCAUUCAUGAACCAAUUUUUUUGGCUUUCAUUUUAUUUUCCAAGUUCCUAGUUUCAUUGUCCAAUCGUGUAACUCAACAUGCAGGCCCUUAAGCAUUUUGUCUUCACUUGGAGAGUUAGGAUUGUAACCACAGCUUGUCCUAUUUAAGCAAGUUAAGCAAAUCAUUUCUUAAUUAGUCUCGACAGAAGGUUUUCAUUAAACCAGAAUUUCUUAGGUUCCUUAAUUCAUCAAUCAACUUCAUCGAAUUAACAUGCAGGGUCCUAGACAUCAUAAACAUUAAGUUCUACUCGGCUAAUUCCACUUGAGUGCUCAGGUUAUCACAAGAAAAACAGAAUUUCAGUUGCAUUUCCAAACCAUUCUCUCGGCAGAAUCAUUCUCAACAAAACAGAAUUUCUAACAAUUUGAUUUCAUCAUCCAACUAUAUAAAAUGAUCAUGCAAGGCCCUAAUCACAAUAAUCAUCCAAAUUCCAGUUAAUUAAUCACCAUUUUAGCUCAAAUCACUUCAGAAAAACACAUUAAAGCUGCCCUUCCAAUCAUCUUCUCGGCUAAGACAUUUUCCUCUUAAAACAGAAUUUUCUUAAGCUUUACCAUUAUCAUCCGAAAGCACAAUCAACAUGCAUGGUCUUAAUCAUCCAGUUUUCAUUCAGCUAAGUACACUUGGGUGCUCAGAUUGUCCCAGAAAAACAGAAAUAAAGCUGCACUAUCAGCUCAGCUCCUCGGCAGAACCAUCUAGCCGAAACAGAAUUUUCCACAGCUUUGAUUUCAACAUCCGAUGGCACAAAUUAACACAUGCAAGACCACGGUUAACUUAAUCUACCUCUGAUAUGGCUUCAUUCACUAGCAAUUAACUUAUUUAGUUCAGAAAUUACCUCAGCUAGUAGCUAAACCCUCACACGAAUUUUCCAGAAAUGUCUUCCCUCACUCUCGGCCAAGUUCAGACGUGGUCCUGGUUUGAGUUGCGGCUGGAAUUGGGUUGCGGAUGAAGGUGAGAUGGUGUAGCUUCCUGCAGAUUCUCCUUCCUGGCUUUGCUCUACUCACGGCAGGACCAAAAAUUUCCAGCAGCUCUCUCACUCUCUCGGAUGCUCUCGGACAAGGCAGGGAACAAAUAAGGUUUUGUUGUGAAUCAAAAAUGAAAGAGUAGAGUGGUUGGUAUCGUGGUAUUUGGAGUGCAAUGGAUUGCGGGUUUGGCUUGUGCAGAGAAAGAGUCGGCUGAAAUGGUUGUGAGAUGUAGUGUGAAUCUGAUCAAG
rnacentral:lncRNA from 1 species